CUCCUGUAAAACCAAGUCCAACUUCUGUCAGAAGAAUUAAUCAUAUUUCAGAUGAGCCUCCCACCAUCAUCAGCUCUCAGAAAGAUCCUCCACAGUCUCUGCCCUUCGUUCCGUUCGCCUUGGUGACGGUGAUCUUUCUCCACAUUAUAGUAGCUGCUGUUUACUGCACCAAGAGAACUAAAGUGUCAGAUCCUGCCGCUGUUCACUACAGCAGUGCUGCUGAAGAUGGAGCAGUGAAUCUGCAGUAGAAAAGGAAAAACUGGAUUUGGUUUGGUUGAUGCUCUCUGGAGGAUCUUCAGUAAACAGUAUGAUCAAUUCAUUUUAUGUUUUUUUUUUUUAGAUUUUGAAGACAUCAAAGCUAUGAGGGAAUGCAUAUGCAGUUAUAAAGUAAAAAAAGAUUUUUAGAUUGUUCAAAAAUAGCACCUUUUGUCUUAAAGCCAACUUUGUGUACUCUUGGCUGAUUUUCUCAGUCGGCUUCAUCAGGUAGAAGC